AUGGGCGAAAGCCUGACGGAGACAACGCCGCGUGAGUGAAGAAGGUGCUUCGGAGCUAAAGCUCUGUUGUUGGGGACGAAAGGAAAAGGGAGGAAAUGCCCUUUUUAAGACGGUACCCGACGAGCAAGCCACGGCUAACUACGUGCCAGCAGCCGCGGUAAUACGUAGGUGGCGAGCGUUGUCCGGGAUGAUUGGGCGUAAAGGGAGCGCAGGUGGGACGGUAAGUCCUUCUUAAAAGCGUGGGGCUCAGCCCCCAUGAAGGGGAAGGAAACUAUCGAUCUUGAGUGCCAGAGAGGAAAGCGGAAUUCCCAGUGUAGCGGUGAAAUGCGUAGAUAUUGGGAAGAACACCAGUGGCGAAGGCGGCUUUCUGGACGGCAACUGACACUGAGGCUCGAAAGCCAGGGGAGCGAACGGGAUUAGAUACCCCGCUAGUCCUGGCCGUAAACGAUGGAUACUAGGUGUAGGAGGUAUCGACCCCUUCUGUGCCGGAGUCAACGCAAUAAGUAUCCCGCCUGGGGAGUACAGUCGCAAGAUUGAAACUCAAAGGA
rnacentral:rRNA from 1 species